rnacentral:rRNA from 1 species
UACGAAGGGGGCUAGCGUUGCUCGGAAUCACUGGGCGUAAAGCGCACGUAGGCGGAUCUUUAAGUCAGGGGUGAAAUCCCGGAGCUCAACUCCGGAACUGCCUUUGAUACUGAGGAUCUUGAGUUCGGGAGAGGUGAGUGACUGACGAGUGUAGAGGUGAAAUUCGUAGAUAUUCGCAAGAACACCAGUGGCGAAGGCGGCUCACUGGCCCGAUACUGACGCUGAGGCACGAAAGCGUGGGGAGCAAACAGG